AUACUUACCUGGCAGGGAGAUAGCAUGAUCACGAAGGGAGAUCUCCCAUCCGCUGCACUCGGAUAUGCUGACCCUGUGAUUUCCCCAAAUGUGGGAAACUCUCGACUGCGUAAUUUGUUCUGGCAGUGGGAGACUGC
rnacentral:snRNA from 1 species